UACGUAGGCAGCAAGCGUUUGUUCGGAAUUACUGGGCGUAAAGAGUGUGUAGGCGGGUGCUCUAAGUUCGGUGUGAAAAUCUCCCGCUUAACUGGGAGGGUGACGCCGGAAACUGGAGUGCUCGAGCGUGGAGAGGAAAGCGGAAUUCCUGGGUGUAGCGGUGAAAUGCGUAGAUAUCAGGAGGAACACCUGCGGUGUAGACGGCUUUUCUGGACCAUUGCUGACGCUGGAGACACGAAAGCGUGGGUAGCAAAACAGG
rnacentral:rRNA from 1 species